rnacentral:tRNA from 1 species
AAGGGAGACCUAAUUCAGGUAGGAGACGAAAAAAAAGUAGUCGCUACCAAGAAUCAAUCCCAAAAGGUCGGAGCGAGGCGAAAUUGGCUUUCAAACUAGGUUCUGGGUUCACACAAGACCUGAAUCAGGAACAAGGGCUAUUAGCUCAGGUGGUUAGAGCGCACCCCUGAUAAGGGUGAGGUCCCUGGUUCGAGUCCAGGAUGGCCCACCUGUACAGGUGGCAAAAAGAAAGAAAAGAAGCGAGGAAUCAGCACCUUAUCUUACUGACAUAGUAAGAGAGAAUGCCGGCUCUGAGUAAAGAGUCCAGAGGAACCUUGAAAACUGCAUAGAGCUAGGUGAAAAAGCCAAAAAAGAAGACCGCAA